rnacentral:lncRNA from 1 species
AUUCAAUUUGGAAUAAGUGCUAACCAACGAACACACCAACUUCCACCAAAAUGAUGGGAAGCAGCAGACGAGAACAGAGAUGUCUACUCCAAAGUCCUCAGCCCUGCAAACUGCCCGGCUUUUUCAGUGAGUUGUAGCCAACGAGUACUAUUCAAGUGACAUCAAUGACUAGCAUUUAUUGAGAGGUUACGAUUUGCCAGGCUCUGCAUGGAGAGCUUUGUAAGCAUUGUUGCCUAACCCUCACAGAGCUCUAUGAGCCAGGGACAGUUAGUAUUUCCAUUUAUUUAGAGAGAAGCCUACCUGAUAUCAGAGAUCAAAAGCAACUCGUCCAAAGCCAUACAGAUAAUUACGUAGAGUGAGUGACUUCAGACUCCGUGUCCGUUGGUACAUGAAACCUGCUCCCCAAAUAUGUGACACAAAUAUUUGCACGUGGCCCAUUUCCUCAUCUAUGUCUUCCACGGGGCUCCGGCUUCCUAUGCCUCUCUGCCUGCUCUGCCGCCUUCUCAGCCAGGCCAUGUCUGGCCAUGAGGUGAUGCCCUAACAUGGCCUAAAAUGAAAUGUGGGGGCUGUCGUGUGUUCACCCGAGAAAUGUUAAAAGGAGAUUUUUUUUUCCAUUGAUUUACUCAUGGAGCUAAAUUGAAAUGAUAUCCAUUUGGAUGAACAAAAAUGAAGACUCAGCACCCCCUUCGAUGAUCCAACAGCAAGUGACCCUUACUAAAAAGGUCGUCCGAUUCAAAAUGCCAUCUCCAGGUGCCAGAUUUGCAGAACUAAGAAACCUACUCUUUGAUGAUAGAAUUUUUUCAAAGCACCGACAUCCCAUACAAGUGAAGUGGACACAACCCCCAUCUUAUCAGUUCCCACGCAUGUAGGUGCGGGCUCUGGAGUGUUUCAUCAGGUUUGCAGAGAAAAUACUGAUCCAUCCCUCUGACUCCCUCUCCUCCAAUGAUUCCUAACACAGUCAUUCCUACAAAUUCCUGACAACUGACUCCCACAAAGGCCUUCAACAAUCCAGCCUUAGACACAUGCAAAUACUUCCUGUAGGUAUUGAAAUGUAACUUUCUUCAUAAACCUUUGGGAGUUUUGCUAACUCACAGGCUAUUCUUAACCUUUAUUAUAGAAGAGGAAUGCACUCAAUUUCCCAAAAAGAAACAAUGAAGAUGAUCAGGAAAGCAAAUAUUUGUUUUCAGGCUUUAGAAGUGUGAGAAAGUGUUCUGGAGAAUCCAUUUAGAUCCCAUGCCAACUCUUAGCCCUCCAGAAGAGAACAUGCCCUCCCUAACAAAUUAGACGUGGACAAUGUGUUUAGAUGUUGAUCUUUUGCCACAAGGAAAAAUAUUUCUUUGCUAGCAACAGGUUCACAAAGGUAGAAAAACCUCAGGCUCCUUUUCAGUUGCCUCUCCCAUGACAGGUGAAGAGUGUCAUUCCCCAGGUGACACUAGGGACAGUGUCUAUGACAGGGGCUUGAUGGCCGUGGCUCAGAGAGAGUAAAGUGCCAGUCCAUCACCAUAAAUGCAACAGGUUCAAGCACAGACCACAACCACAAAUUACAAGGGACACCUUGAGAGAAACGCAUGCAGGGGGAAGAGUGCCAUGCAGCUUUUAAAUGACAGGCACGUGCUCACAGGCUUCUGUUCAGAGAGAACCUGUGAGCUGUCCUGUGGCCUUUCCUGUUUACGGUGCAGCCAUCCCAAAUAUGAUGCCCCCAAAUCCGAGUCUGGCUAGAAGGAAGUGUCAUACAAAGGCCAUGCCAUUCUCCCUGACAAAAGACAUGAGUUUCUUGCAAGAGCACUAAGAAGUUUUAAGAGGUGGACUCGAAGAGAGGAGAAUGAAUUGGAAAGCCAGCAAGAAUGUGGCUCUUACUCCUCUGUGAAAUAUUUGCAGGAACGAGCCUGGAGACCAGCAGGUUCAGGAUGGAAAGCUGGAAAGAAUUCUUUCCUAAAACUUAAGUUUUAGAGAAAAAUAGGCAGCCAGUCCCAACCACCCAAAGGCGUCCAAAGCCAUGUUUGUUCUGGGAAGGCCAAGGCAUGGGAGGAUGUUAACUUGGGCUAUCAGCAGGAUUGAAGGGCAGGGUGACCUUGGUACGCUCUCAGGGCCUGUGUUUCCAAGUCGACAAACUGUUCUGAGCUUUUCCAUGAAACGAGUGAAGCCCUUUUCAUACCUCCUUCGUGUUCCAGAAUUCUUGCCAUCGAUGUUCCAAAGGAUCUGUGAUAGAUUUAUGUCUAGCCUUAAAUGGGACGAGUUGUAACAUUCAGAAUUAUUUUAUCUUUCUGAGACCUGCUAUUAUUGUGAGACCCUAGACAUGCUUUGCUGGGGUUAGGGUGAGGGUACUCCUAACGAGGGAAGGAAAAAGAAACGGCUUCAAGGCAAUCCAUGUGGGUCAUUACAUGCACACUUGUUCCAUCUUCCAUUUGUGCCUGCCCAAAGCGUUCUAGAACUGACCGGACCUGAGAGGCUGUCUCAUUAGAACUAAGAGAAGGUAUUGUUGAUGAUGUCUUAUAUCCAUGGAAGAAUUCCCUGGGCAUUCCCUCUGAUGCUGCCUGGGAUACCUACAUUGCUCAAAGUACAGUUUCUUUAUGAAUAGGGAUGAAACAUCGCAUUGGGGUAUCUAUUCUUCCAUGGUUGGUUUGAAAUAGCCAAGCAGAAGUGCCAUAGAAAUUUGCCAACAAAAUAAGCAUCUAACUGAUAGUGUCGUCCUUCUACAUGGAACAAAUCUGAUGGCAUGUCACUGAAAUUUUCCAACUGGGCCACCUUGAUGCCCGUGCUAAAGGACUGCUGGGUGUUUAUAAGAUAUAAAAGAAGAUAUUUAGUGUGUGUUUAUUUGAAACAUUUUACAUUUUUACUCUACUUCUUUAACCUCUGUUAUGGUUAUAGCUAGCUCGUGUACUGCGUAUAAAUGUAUGCAUCUGUAUUCGCCAUCUACACCAAAAUAAACCUUUGAAAUUAUUGCCAGGCAGAAUUAAUGAGCUCAGUUCUAACAGCGCAAAGAAUAUCUUCAUACUACAGGUAAAACAAACAGCUUCUCCCUUCCCUUCUUCUGCACAGAAUGGCUCUACGAAGUCUGCCUGCAAAAUUACGUCUUUUAGAAAACCAAGUAGCUGGCUGUUUUGUGAGCAGGGAGGAUUUCAGGACGAACCACAAACAAGCUGUUUGUUUAGAUUUUAAGGUUGACAGUUCAUUUACACGUAUGCCCCAUAAGUAUUCUAUAACAUAGUCCUGAAAAAGCACUGAAGAAAAAAAAAAAAAAAAACACAAGGUCUCCGCUGGGGCCACAUCAUGGGAAGGAAUUAACUCUUAACUCUGCCUUCCAGAAACAAAUUAAGAGGAUGUACUUUGCAAUAAUUCAGAUCUCACAGGUAGGCCCCCAAUGUCCAGCCCCGCUAUUUCAAAUCGGGCAUGUCUGAGUUAGGUGUGUGGAUUUCCAUACAGAGCUCACUGGAACAGACCAUUUCUCAGGUUCCAAGACGCUGGCCUUGUUAAUAUUUCAUUUAGAACAUACUGUGGAGAGUGUCUCAUUUAUAUUACUUCCAUAAUUAAUGGUGAUAGCUUAGGCACUGCCUUUACACAGAGAGAUCUCUUCACAGUGGUCGAUGGGUAAUGAGAAACAAUAGAUAUUUCAUUCACCAGCAGCGUGUUGCUAGUUAGUAGGAAAUGAUCGUGUGUGCUGUUGCUUUAAUUGCCCGGGUAAAUAAUUCUGCCUCGGUGUUAGUGAGCAUUUUAAAGCACUUGAUGCCAAUAGACUAGAAACAAACAAAAAUUAACCUUGAUUAUGCAACACCUUAGCAUAGAAAGUUACAAAGGUAUGUCUUUUUUAAAGUUUGCAUUCUAUCAUGCAAAUAUUAUCUAAAUAUGCAUGUGCUGACUACUCAUCUACUGUAUUUUAGGAAAUACAAUUAGGCUGCCUUUCUCUUCCCCUAUGUAGACUGUAAAUAACUGUAGAUCUUUCUCUUGUUUCCCUAUGUAAAUAUAUGUAAAUACUAACAAGCUAUGCAUGCUGCUAUUCUAGGCAAUUUCAGGUACUUUUAUAAUAUGAAGGCAUGUACUUGAACUCGUUUGUUAACAGAGGGGAAAAAACUCUCUCAAACUCUUUAAAGCUGAAUAGAAAUUAAAGAUUUCUUCCUA